rnacentral:rRNA from 1 species
GGAAUAUUGGUCAAUGGACGAGAGUCUGAACCAGCCAAGUAGCGUGCAGGAUGACUGCCCUAUGGGUUGUAAACUGCUUUUAUGCGGGAAUAAAGUCAGGUACGUGUACCUGUUUGUAUGUACCGCAUGAAUAAGGACCGGCUAAUUCCGUGCCAGCAGCCGCGGUAAUACGGAAGGUCCGGGCGUUAUCCGGAUUUAUUGGGUUUAAAGGGAGCGCAGGCCGACUGGUAAGCGUGACGUGAAAUGUAGCCGCUCAACGGCUGAACUGCGUCGCGAACUGUCAGUCUUGAGUGAGUUCGAUGUUGGCGGAAUUCGUGGUGUAGCGGUGAAAUGCUUAGAUAUCACGAAGAACCCCGAUUGCGAAGGCAGCUGACGAGUCCUUUACUGACGCUAAAGCUCGAAGGUGCGGGUAUCGAACA